rnacentral:tRNA from 1 species
AGAAAUAUGUCUGGUAAAAGAGUUACUUUGAUAGAGUAAGUAAUAGAGGUUUGAAUCCCCUUAUUUCUA